CUCUUGAGAGUCCCAUGGACUGCAAGAAGAUCAAACCUCUCCAUUCUUAAGGAAACCAGCCCUGAGUUCUCACUGGAAGGACAGAUCCUGAAGCUGAGGCUCCACUACUUUGGCCACCUCAUGAGAAGAGAAGACUCCCUGGAAAUGACCCUGAUGUUGGGAAAGGUGGAGGGCACAAGAAGAAGGGGACGACAGAGGACGAGAUGGUUGGACAGUGUUCUCGAAGCUACCAGCAUGAGUUUGACCAAACUGCGGGAGGCAGUGGAAGAUAAGAGUGCCUGGCAUGCUCUGGUCCAUGGGGUCACAGAGAGUCGGACAUGACUAAACAACAACAACAUCUCAUCCAAAGCCUCCUAAAAAUGCGUGGAGUCUUUCAGGAGGAUUGUAGGAAGAUAUAUAAGGAAGAUAUAUAAGCAAGCAGGCAGAGGAAAGGGAUGAAAUAAACAAACCCAGAGGGUUGUGGGUGGGGCAAAUGCUAUUUGAAUCAAUUUCACCAAGGAAAUGAUCAGAAACAAAAUUUGCAAAUAUUCACAGGUCCCUUGUUUGCAGGCUUCCCUGAGGCAUCUGGUUUCCUAACUGGGUGCCGUAGGAUUGGUUAAACUAGAUUUGCCUGUGACCUCAUCUAGCAGAGACACACAAACACCCGGCGAAAUAAAUGGAAAUUACGGUAAAAGUGUGUAACUCUAGCAGAAUGCUGCUCAUCAUUUAUAUUUAAACUUGUUUAAAUUGAGUCAUUUGUAUUCCUCCUCCAUUUAUUAUUAUUAUUAUUAUUAUUAUUAUUAUUAUUAUUAUUAUUAUUUAUUAUUAUUAUUAUUAAGGCAACUUUCAAGGCUUGUUUUCUCCUGCUCAGGAGAGUAGGACUCAAACCAAAGGCUAAAAGUUACAAGAAGGGAGAUUCUGACAUAGGGGAAAACUUUCUGACAGUAAGAGCUGUCCGACAGUGGAAUGGAUUCCCUCUGGAGGUGGUGGACUCUUUUUCCUUGGAAGCUUUUAAGCAGAGGUUGGAGGGCCAUCUGUCACGGAUGCUUUUGUUUUGUGUUUUGACAUUAGCAGUCUUGUACUUUAAUAACCUGAAAUACUGCAAAAGUGUGCUCCACCCUCCCCCACCCAACCUGGCCUGCACCCCUUGCCAUAGCUGUCAACUUUUCUCUUUUCUUGCGAGGAAUCCUAUUUGGAAUAAGGGAAUUUCCCUUCAAAAAAGCUAUGCCCCUCGCCCCAAUCGUGUCUCCAGCCCCACACCCCAUCCCGUUCUUUCCCAUUUCAAUGGGGCCACCGCAAAGCCGUUCCAAUGAGAAAAUGGAAGAGUAAUGAAAUUCCCUCUAUACAAGAUUGGAUCCAAAAGCUGACAGAAUAUGCAGAAUUAGACGGUCUAUCAGAAAAAAAUAAAGAAUAAAUCGAAACAGGGAAUUGUUUCAAAAUGGGAGGUUUUCAAAGUAUAUUUGAAAUACAAAUAUAGUAGUUUAAACUCGGUUGCAGCAUUCGUGGAACUUCAGUAACAGUUGCAAGGCAGAUAUAACAAUUAAGAUUGUUAAGUUGUGGGUGUACAUAUCAGAAGACACAGCGAUUCUUCAAACAGCUCUUGUUUAUUCACAGGCCAGAACAGAACUGAACUGAAGGGUUCAGCCAGCCUGCUUAUAUAGAGCUCCACUACAAUGCAACAGUACAACUUUCUGUAACUAUCCAAUCACUGAACAUCACUUUCAAUUCCUUAUUUGCAUAUGUGGACCUGAGUGAAAACUAUCUACAGUAUCCCCCUGCUGGCCCAGGGUGAGAACUUCAGUACAUAACAAAGAUAUAUUAAGAAAAAGUUUAAUAAUGAUAAAAGUGUGUACUGGCAAUAAAUUAUAUAAAAUUGAAAUAUGGAAUAGACGGGAGGUUGGGUCUUUAGUGUUAAGACCAAUUUAUGUCUUAUUGUUUGUUAAGAAAAUUCAGUAUUUAUUGUUGUUCUUGUGUGUAAUUUGGUAUUUGUGUUUUCUCUUUUUUCUUUUCUUGUUGUCUCAAUAAUAAUAAAAAGCUGUCCCUAUGAGAUUUGGCCAAGUGGGGUAAGGUAGGCCCAUAAGGGGCAGACAGGAACCACUCCAAAUCUGUGAGCAGCUUCCCUCCCCAAAAAAACUCUGCCCCAGCCCACCAACCUGGCAGUUCCUUCCGGAACCAGUAAAUUGUGUAUUUGCGUAAAAAGGUCCCCCCACUCCCAGAGGUUGAGGGGUGUGUGUGUUGUAAAACCAAGUCCUGAUUCCACCCCAAAAAGGCACAUGCUGUGUUAGUAGGCCCCCUUUCUCCCGCCACCCCAAAAGGAUGGCUCUACAUGCGAACACCCCUUCCUGCAAUGCUAGUGUCCCCAUCCACAUUUCACAUCUGCGGGAAAACGGAUGCUCUAGUUGAGAUUCCUGCAUUGCAGGGGGUUGGACUAAUAAUAAUAAUAAUAAUAAUAAUAAUAAUAAUUUUUAUUUAUACCCCGCCCUCCCCAGCCAAGACCGGGCUCAGGGCGGCUAACAACCAAUAAUAAAAACAAGUUGAUUAAAAUACAAUUUUAAAAACAAGAUUAAAAUACAACAUUAAAACAUUAGGAUGCAGCCUCUUCACAGGGACGCGGGUGGCGCUGUGGGUAAAAGCCUUAGCGCCUAGGGCUUGCCGAUCGAAAGGUCGGCGGUUCGAAUCCCCGCGGCGGGGUGCGCUCCCGUUGUUCGGUCCCAGCGCCUGCCAACCUAGCAGUUCGAAAGCACCCCCGGGUGCAAGUAGAUAAAUAGGGACCGCUUUCUAGCGGGAAGGUAAACGGCGUUUCCGUGUGCGGCUCUGGCUCGCCAGAUGCAGCUUGUCACGCUGGCCACAUGACCCGGAAGUGUCUGCGGACAGCACUGGCUCCCGGCCUAUAGAGUGAGAUGAGCGCACAACCCUAGAGUCUGGGAAGACUGGCCCGUACGGGCAGGGGUACCUUUACCUUUACCUUUACUCUUCACAGGAGGAGAAAGGAAAAAGAAAGAGGGGGAGGGAAUCAAACUGAUUCUAAGCCAAAGGCCAGGCGGAACAACUCUGUCUUACAGGCCCUGCCAAAAGAAAUCAGAUCCUGCAGGGCCCUGGUCUCAUGCGGCAGAGCGUUCCACCAGGCCGGAGCCAGUGUUGAGAAGGCCCUGGCUCUGGUUGAGGCUAAUCUAACUUCCUUAGGGCCCAAGACCUCUAGGGUGUUGCUAUUUAUGGACCUUAAGGUCCUCCAUGGGGCAUACCAGGAGAGGCAGUCCCGUAGGUACAAGGGUCCCAGGCCGUGAAGGACUAGAUGACUCUAGGGGUCCCUUCCGACUCUACAAUUCUCUGCAAUGCUCUCAACAAUGUCCCACUGGAGCAUACAGUAAUGCAGAGCUAAGGAACCUUUUUCGGCCCAAGCGCCUCAUUCUCUUGUAAACAACCUUCUGGGGGCCAGGUGACAGCGUGAGCCUGGGCCAAAGUCAAAAACAGAUGGAGCCAAGAAUGCAGGUUUUGCCUUUGCUGGGCCCUAAUAAUAAUACUAAUAAUACUAAUAAUAAUAUGCUUUUGAAUUCUGGUGCUGGAGGAG
rnacentral:lncRNA from 1 species